GAUGAACGCUAGCUACAGGCUUAACACAUGCAAGUUGAGGGGUAACGAGAGGAAAGCUUGCUUUCCUUGUCGACGACCGGCGCACGGGUGAGUAACGCGUAUCCUACCUGCCCCCAACUAAGGAAUAACCUUGCGAAAGUAAGACUAAUACCUUAUAAUUUCCUCAGAUGUCAUCUGACGAGGAAUAAAGAUUUAUCGGUUGUGGAUGGGGAUGCGUCUGAUUAGCUUGUUGGCGGGGUAACGGCCCACCAAGGCAACGAUCAGUAGGGGUUCUGAGAGGAAGGUCCCCCACAUUGGAACUGAGACACGGUCCAAACUCCUACGGGAGGCAGCAGUGAGGAAUAUUGGUCAAUGGGCGAAAGCCUGAACCAGCCAAGCAGCGUGCAGGAUGACGGCCCUAUGGGUUGUAAACUGCUUUUAUACAGGAAUAAAGUUAGCCACGUGUGGUUAUUUGUAGGUACUGUAUGAAUAAGGACCGGCUAAUUCCGUGCCAGCCGCCGCGGUAA
rnacentral:rRNA from 1 species